UUGCAUCCCCAAAUAUUAUCAUCAGUUUCUUCACCUAAAUCGUUCUCUUUCAAUCUAUUGAAUCUCUAAAGCCACGAAUUCAGUUCUUUCAUAUUUCCUCCAUCAAUUGUUACUGGUCAUUCAAUUGAAACCAAACAUUGAAAGCCAAUACCAAAUUGAAGACACGAAUUUAAUUCGCCCGUCGUUUUGAAACCCCAUAAUUAUUUAACAUGGAAACCCUUACUUGAAUUCUCUGGUCAUUUGCGAUUUCAGUUGCCUAUUAUUAGGUUUUUCAUUAUCGAAUUUUGUUAAACCACUCCUGGUCAUUGAACCACAGCCAUUCUAACUUUGUCAACUUCGUCAAUUAUGAAUCAGGUCUGCACAUGAAUACACAUCUAUACUCACUUAUCUACCUCCGGACACGAAUCAGAUUGUGAAAUUGAAUGUUGAAACGAUCAGUUGGAAAUUGAAUGUCAUUGAAUGAAUUACGUCGUUUCGAUUAUAUUUGGCAUUAAUAAGUUGCUGCAUUCAGGCGUUGAAAUUUAGUCUAAUGGAAGACUAGCAACCAGUACUGGACUCAUAUUCUAACGAUCUCGAGAUUUUCAAUGGCCGAUCAAACUCGUAAGAUUCUGUUUCAAUCUUGAUUUAUCAAAUCAUACUUGUUAAAUGUUUCUAAUUAUUUUCAGUUUAGAAAAUUAGGUAUUAUUGUUGUACUACUAGCAGUAGCGUUGAUCUGUGAAUCUAUGUCGUUAUUUCACCCGGUCUCUGAAUCUCACUGCUCCGCUGAAUUAGAGUUGUUUUUUGGAUCGUUUUCGAGGUUCGUUUUAACUUCCGGAUCAAGUUUUUCCUCUCUUUGGUAUACAUUUAUGCACUAUAUAAUUAUCUGGUGAAAAUAUUAAGUUUUUGGGUGAUUCUUGAUCAUAUGAUGCUAACAGCUCCGAGUAUCUACAGACGCAAAAUGGAUUUCAUUAUUUCUUCUUUUGAAAUUGAAGAUUGGUUAUUUUCACCCAAAUGACAUCGAAGUUCAACGUUUUGCCGAAAUGUAAACACUACUCGUGUAUGGUAGACCUUCUUGGUCGAGCUGGGUUGUUGAACGAAUCCGAAGAGGUUAUAAACAACAUGCCGAUUAAACCGGAUGACAGUGUGUGGGGAGCGUUGUUUUUUGCGUGCAGGAUUCAUAAGAACAUUGAGAUGGGUGAACGGGCGGGGUUUAAGCUUGUUGAACUGGACCCAAGUGACGGUGGGAUUUAUGUGUUGUUAGCGAGUAUGUAGUGGGAAGCGAAGAUGUUCGAGAAGUCGAUGGAAGUGAGGAAGUUGAUGACUGAUGAGGAUACGAGGGGUAGAUAAAACGCCUGGUUGCCGUUCGGUUGAGAUUAAUGGACGCGUUUAUGAGUUUCUAAUUAGAGACAAAUCGCACCCUCAAAAUCGAGAAAUUAGUGAAGUCUUGGUUCAUUUGAUGAAACAACUUGUUGGUUUUGAAGAUUUGGAUUGUCAAUUCGUUCUACUGUCAAGUGCUUAGUUAAAUGGCGUCAACUGCAGCUGCAAGUAAAUCAACAAGAAAUAUGGAGAUUUACAACAUUCAAGCGCCUUACUAGCGUUAUCUUUUCUAGAGGUGGUAAAGUAGAUGGGUUGGGCUGGUCGGACCCGAAACAUGAGGCUGCCGCAAAGUUGCAAAACCAAAACGUUUAUAAAAGCUUUAGGACGCGAAGAAAGCUGGUAGAUUGUGCAGUUUUAGUUAAACAAAGCUGGUUAGUAACACUUGUCUGGGGAUCUCUUAUUUUGCUAAUGCAGUCUUUUUGUGAUUGUUGGAUUCUGCAGAACUCAAUAGUAGUUCUAUAUCAUUUUUCCAUAUUCAUAAACAUGAAUCCGCUAUAUCGCGUUCGGACAGAGCAAAAACAAGAGCUGCCAAGGUUGGGAAAGGAUUAUUAAAGAAUUGUUAGGCCCAGAAGCUUGCUUUGCAGCAUUGGUUUGAGGCGGUAGCGGAAACCGUGGUUUUACAUGAUUUUUUCUAACAUUGUUUAUAUCUCAUCUCUUUUUAACUGGUAGCAUUGUAAGAAACUUAAAAGAUCAGUUUCAACAUAAAUAUAAGUAUGAUUUUAUCAUAAUAAAAUUUACAGAACUGCAUUGUGCAUUAAAUAAAAAUCGAAACUGCAGU